rnacentral:lncRNA from 1 species
GAAGUGCCUGAUGGACGUGGCUCUCGUCACGAAAUGAGUUUGGAUCCGAGAAGCCCUCUUCUUCAUCGGAAAACAGGACAAAGAUGAGCUGCGUGCCCAUAAUUCCACGUUUACGCUGACUCCUCCAGUGCCUCAUCAAUGAAGUAAGCAGGCAGCUACGUUCUGGAUGGCUAGCAUGUACCGAAGGCACAAAACCUCCAGAGUUGGCAGAGUUAAGUCCUGGCGUGCCCGAGGCUAUCCAGGGGAACACGCGGGACAGACAGCACCCUCAGCCUGUCCCCAUGACCCUCUGCUCCAGUCUGAGGGGCAGGACACCAUGAGACCUCUCAGACACAGAGUCCACCCUCGACAUGACCCGGAUGAAAGGCAGGAGUGUGCUCGCUGAAGGGGACCCAUCUCUGCAAGCCCACAGCCCUACCUGCAGCAUCCACAGCCUCAGAGAGCAGCGGGGCCCCUUACCCCUGAACCCCCUCCAAGAGCAUCAGGACAACAAGCCUUGAGCUGUGGAGACAAGAGAAUCAGUAUCCCUGGCCCAGGGAGGAUUCCAGGAGAGGACACGGGCAGGAGCCCUGGCCCAGAGCCAGAACCAAGAGUCCAGCCAGAGGCGGCUAGAGCAUCA